CCUGACCACCACCACCGCCAACAACCAACCUCAAUUACACGGCGAGAAGAACAAAUUAAACUAUUAGAUCUCAUUAAACUAAACAGAGAAUUAAUUAAGAGGAGGAGGAGGAGGAGGGAGAGGAGAGAAUUUGAUGAGAGUGUGAUGCCGGGCGUAUAUCCAGACAAAGGGUAACCCAGACAAAGAGCACCUACCUGAAUCAUAUGUCGAUUAUGACCUCAAACAAUAAACAAUCUCAGGACUAGUGGUGAGAGAAAGGUCAGGAAGCAAACUAAGCAUAAAAUAAAUUCACCUCGAUAGCUGCAUUAAUCAGGAGUAUGCAUGCGUUUUGUAUUACUAUUCUCCGUGUCCGAAAAAUCUCUCCCACUGUAGUUAGGUUGGGAUUGAUGAAGCUGUUCCAUGGAAUUCAGGGAAGAAAUAAAUGUAAACUUGAAGGAGGAAAAAGCAUUGGGAGAGGAAUUGAAGGCAAUAAUAGGGGAAAAGGAAAUUCUGAUCUUCCUCCUCCUCCUCCUCCUCCUCUCUCUCUAUAUCUCUCCCUGUGUCGCGUUUAAUUUAUAUAUAAUAUGCCCUUUUUCUUUCUGCUUUCAGGAUCCGUUUGAAGCUCUAGUCACACUGCUACAGGCGCUGCUGUGGACUCCGUGCUGUUUGAAGUAGAUACCAAGGAAACCGUUAAAGAGUCUUUCUCACACCACAAUUAUGGCAGCAGAGGAAGGAGAAUUAUAAGGGAGGGAGGGAGGAAGAAGGAGACGGGGUGGGGGAAAAGAGCUAGGAGGUUUUCCGAGCUGCGCGGAAGAAUUUGAUGGGAGUAAUGUUGGUUUGGCUUAAUUAACUACCUGGAGAUUUCCUCCCAGAGAGGACCCUUGAAGGUGGCGUCCCGGAAGGCAGCGUCCAUCUCCGACCUGAUCUUGAGCAGCGCCAGCGUCUCCUGCUUAGGCCACCGGCUUCCGGAGGGCCCGCCGCGCUCUGCCUCCUCGUCGUCCAGGAACCCCACAGCUCCUGCUACGGCUGAACCCAGCUCGUCGAAAUUGACCGCGCCCGGAGUUGGCGCCGGCGGAGGAGGAGGCCGGGAGCUGAUCGGCGAGGGGGUCUCCGCCAGCUGUUGAGCCGCCGGCAGCGGCGGCGGCUGUGUGGACUCGACCAGCCCCUGAGGUCGACUACCCGACAUCUCCGCCUGGAAUUGUAGGCCUUCUCCUGACUUCUGCUGCAUGGUGGGGCGGCCCUGCCUCGGCGAUCUCGGCUAGCAACAAAAGGAGCGGGAUUGAUGAAUUCUCCCCUCUUGUUCCUCCUUCCUCCCCUCCCCUUGCGCUGAGUAGGGGGAGAGAAAGAGAAAAAAGAGAGAGAAAGAGAAAGCGCGAGAGAGAGAGAGAGAGAAAGAGAGAGAGGUGGCUGAUCGAAUGGGGAUUGGAGCAAUCUGAAAUCGUAAAAGGAAAUCAGUACAUGGAGUGAAAAAUAAAAGAAAGAAUAAAAAAGUUGGGAGCAUGGACAA